rnacentral:lncRNA from 1 species
UUGUAUUAUUUUUUCUGUAUCUAUUACACAGUCUAAGUCUAAAAAGUUAUAAUUUUUAUUAACUAUUUGUUUUGGUGUCCAUUUGUCAUAUUCAUUCUUUAGAUUAUAUCUUUUAAACUUAUUCUUAUAAUAUGUAGGUUUUCUUAUUUUUGAUGUUCUAGGUAUUAUAUUUUCAUCUUCUUUUUUAUCAAGAGUAUUUAUUUCUGUGUUGAUAUUUUCUAAGUUUUCUUCAUUAAUUACUUCUUGUUUUUCAUUGAUUUCUAAAUUUUUUGUAUUUGUUAA